CACGCCAUCCCUCCCUUUUUCUUCCUUAAUUUUUCUCACACCUUUUCUUCUAAUUUUGGGCAUCUCAACCUGAUCCAAAAUCUUGUAUCCAACAUCCAAUAUGCUGGGUUUAAAUAGGCCAAAAGAGAGUCCUAAGUUGGAUAGGAAUUAGGAGUCCAAAACUAUUAGGACUUGAAUUUUUGUGACACCCAUAAUCUGG
rnacentral:lncRNA from 1 species